AGUUGACCCUGAAGAAUGCCUGC
rnacentral:piRNA from 1 species